UACGGAGGGAGCUAGCGUUGUUCGGAAUUACUGGGCGUAAAGCGCACGUAGGCGGCUUUGUAAGUUAGAGGUGAAAGCCCGGAGCUCAACUCCGGAAUUGCCUUUAAGACUGCAUCGCUUGAAUCCAGGAGAGGUGAGUGGAAUUCCGAGUGUAGAGGUGAAAUUCGUAGAUAUUCGGAGGAACACCAGCGGCGAAGGCGGCGCUCUGGGCCGGAACUGACGCUGAGGAGCGAAAGCGUGGGUAGCAAACAGG
rnacentral:rRNA from 1 species